AUUGAACGCUGGCGGUAUGCUUAACACAUGCAAGUCGAACGGCAGCAUGGUCUAGCUUGCUAGACUGACGGCGAGUGGCGGACGGGUGAGUAACGCGUAGGAAUAUGCCUUGAAGAGGGGGACAACUUGGGGAAAAUCAAGCUAAUACCGCAUGUACUCGAGAGAGUAAAGCUGGGGACCUUUAGGCCGGGCGCUUUAAGAUUAGCCUGCGUCCGAUUAGCUAGUUGGUAGGGUAAAGGCCUACCAAGGCGACGAUCGGUAGCUGGUCUGAGAGGAUGAUCAGCCACACUGGAACUGAGAGACGGUCCAGACUCCUACGGGAGGCAGCAGUGGGGAAUAUUGGACAAUGGGGGGAACCCUGAUCCAGCAAUGCCGCGUGUGUGAAGAAGGCCUGAGGGUUGUAAAGCACUUUCAGUGGGGAGGAGGUUUGGAAGGUUAAGAGCUAUUCAAAUGGACGUUACCCACAGAAGAAGCACCGGCUAACUCCGUGCCAGCCGCCGCCGUAA
rnacentral:rRNA from 1 species